UACGGAGGGUGCGAGCGUUGUCCGGAAUCAUUGGGCGUAAAGGGCGCGUAGGUGGCCACUUCAAGCGUGCGGUGAAAGUCGGGGGCUCAACCCCUGAUCGGCCGUGCGAACUGGGGGGCUGGAGCACUGUAGAGGCAGGCGGAAUUCCGGGUGUAGCGGUGGAAUGCGUAGAGAUCCGGAAGAACACCGGUGGCGAAGGCGGCCUGCUGGGCAGUUUUGCUGACACUGAGGCGCGACAGCGUGGGGAGCAAGCAGG
rnacentral:rRNA from 1 species